AUGUGGACUGCCAUGUGCGUGGGGUUAUUGCCUGUCAUAGCAGUCACUGCCCAGGUGUCCUUGGAGCAACACAUUGGGGAACUGGCCGUGCGAGACGGUGAUGGAGUCACCUUCCAGUGCAGCAUGAGUGGAGACAGAAUGAGCAGCUACUUCAUGUCCUGGUACCGGCAGGGUCUGCGUGGCACUCUGGACUGGAUUUACUGGGAAGGUGAUACCUAUGGAGAAGGUUUCGAGGAUGGCUUUAAGGGAACAGUGGAGAGCUCCCAGAACAGAUUCACACUGCAGAUCCAGGCAGCAAAGCCAGGGGAUGAAGCAGUGUAUUACUGUGGUGCAGACCUCACUGUAUAG